rnacentral:lncRNA from 1 species
AAUAUUAAAGCACCUUGGAGAGUAAUGAAAGAAAUACACAAGAGAAGAAGAGGCAAACACUGGUGGGUCACUCACUGUCUCAGGGCUUCCUUUGUGGAACCAAUAGGUAUUUUGAAAAGCAUCCUGAAAACAUGUCAAAGGUCUAAGGAUUGUUAUCAUUGGGGCUGGUGAGUCAUGGCCCAGACAGACAGUAAUACAGGUGCCCAAUCGGCUGCUGUCUAUCCAAAACAUGCCACUGGACUGUGAGGGAGGCAACCCUUAAAAUGGUGUGAAAUAGAAAAAGAGGACAAACUUGUCUGCAGCACUCAGGAGGCUCAGGGAAUUAACCAGGAGGGAACAGUAGCCCGGUUAAAAUAGUUUCUGUACUUCCAGAGGAAGCAAUUAAAUCUCAGCGUCUACCAUGGCAAAAGACCGAUUGUACUUGAGGAACAAAAUCGGGGAUGAUCAUCCUUUAGUGGCGGGAAGCUGGAAAAUGAGGGACUGUGGGCUGUGAGGAGAGAGAAAGAGGCUUGAGAAACCAGAAACCAUCAUUUGCAUCCAAGAAACUGUGCUCUCCAUGGCUUCCUCAAGAUGAGCAAACAAGAGUGAUACAGAUUUUUCUGAGAUGGACAGUGCCUCUCACUGACCCCGCCCCCAGUAUCCUACGACCAAGGAAAAGAAUCUCAUGUGUCAUUUCUGUGGGCCACGGUAGUUAAGGAAACUCCAUGUAUUUUCAUCUGGAGCCUCACAGCAACCCUGACAAGUGGCUAAGUGGGGACAAUGUGAAGCUCGGCUGCCCUUCCCCAAGGCCCUGGUCUUGACAGUCCUCAGGGGCUGGAGGCCCCCCUCAUCCAUGUCCCCACAAGAUUUCUGUCCAUGGCACCCAAGGACCCACUCAAAUGGUCUUGAAUGGACCUGAGGAAGACUGGCGAGUUAUUGGUUUUAUAAGCACAGUUGUGUCCGUUUACAUCUACCAGAAGGUACAGGGAUAUGGCGAGAGUGAGAAGACGUGACACCUGUUAAUACAAACUCUCCCCUUUAACUUGUCUUUCCAGAGAACACAGAAUGGGAGACACCGCUAAAACAGGCCACGUUAGCACUAGAACUGAUAAACUGAGAGCUAGGUUCUAGAUAGAAAAGUUACGAUGAAACAUCCUCAUCAUUGUCAACAGAUGAAUAUCUAAACCUCAGCUUUGAUGUCCUCUGCCAAAUGGAUUGGAUGAUGCCUGCCCUUGCCACUCCACGGGGUCUUUGGGGAUGAACUGAGCUACAAUGGCGAGGGAGCGGGUGGGAUACUAACUGGCCCUUCCCCUAGAUAGGAGGCCAUCAAGUGCAGAGCCAGAGACCGGCCCUGGGCCUCCGCAGGCUCCCCCGGAGCCAAAGAGAGGCCAAACCGAAGCGCCCUGCCCAAGGCCGCCCUAACGCGACUCUGGCCGCUCCUGCCUAGCAGAUACCGGCUGGUGCCCUCGCUUCGGAUGCAAGAUCCCAGCUCUGCUGCAGC